AUUGAACGCUGGCGGCAGGCUUAACACAUGCAAGUCGAGCGGGGUGAUGGUGCUUGCACUAUCACCUAGCGGCGGACGGGUGAGUAAUGCUUAGGAAUCUGCCUAUUAGUGGGGGACAACAUCUCGAAAGGGAUGCUAAUACCGCAUACGCCCUACGGGAGAAAGCAGGGGAUCACUUGUGACCUUGCGCUAAUAGAUGAGCCUAAGUCGGAUUAGCUAGUUGGUGGGGUAAAGGCCUACCAAGGCGACGAUCUGUAGCGGGUCUGAGAGGAUGAUCCGCCACACUGGGACUGAGACACGGCCCAGACUCCUACGGGAGGCAGCAGUGGGGAAUAUUGGACAAUGGGGGGAACCCUGAUCCAGCCAUGCCGCGUGUGUGAAGAAGGCCUUAUGGUUGUAAAGCACUUUAAGCGAGGAGGAGGCUACUUUAGUUAAUACCUAGAGAUAGUGGACGUUACUCGCAGAAUAAGCACCGGCUAACUCUGUGCCAGCAGCCGCCGUAA
rnacentral:rRNA from 1 species